rnacentral:lncRNA from 1 species
GAAUACAUAGAUCUAGUCUAACUACAUAUCCUAUUGGCAUAAGGCCAGGCACACAUAGAGAAUAUCCUAGAACAUCCCCCCUUGUGCCGCGCGCUGAUAUGCCGAUGGUGUUGAUCUGUUGCCUCGUCAAAAAACCUCGUCAAGUCNCAAAAAACCCUGUGGGAGAAAAACUGAACCUUGAUCGUAGGAGAAAAAGAGUACAACGCACCCUUCACAUUUGAUAGUGACAUGUAUGUAUGUGCUAGACUCCCCCUGAAGUUCGCACCUCCCCCUGAUCUUUACAUCAAUCAUAGGGCUCUUCCUGAUUCUUACUAAUCACGGAAGUUUCAACAAUUUAGCAUGUCAAUGCUUUUUAACAUGUCUUCAAAUGUGGUAUUGGGCAAUGAUUAACUAAAUCAUGCCGUAUUGUCCUCAAAUGAUCUUUUAGACUUAGAUCUUGAGGAGAAGGUUGCUUGUGAACUCAAAACAUAAGUUCGUGCAGGAAAUCAGAUUUCCGCGCAGCAUGACCUUCAAUUACUAGAACAGUCGUAACUUUCUCUAGGAAAUACAUAUGAACGAACCGUAAACGGUUUUGGAAACUAGACUCAUUUAGCUUUCCAACCGUAUAUUACACACGUUCUGGUUCCUCAGGAGUUAUUCACAACAUUCCGUCGAAGUUGACUGUUUUGCUAAAAUCAGAUUCUCGGACAGAUUCGUCCUACUUUACGAAAACGGCCAUAACUCACUCAAUAUGAUAGGUAUGAUCAAAUGGUUGGUGUCUCUGGAAAGUAGACACAUAUACCUUUCCAAUGGUACCAAUUUCACCAUUUUCCAGUGAGUGAGAUUUCUUAUAGGUCCCGUGGAAGUUGACCUACAAAACUUGGCAGAUUCUGAUUUCACUUUUGAUGUGUCUUUCUUAUGUAGGAAUAGAAUAAGCCUCAACCUUUCAUACCAUUAAGUAUUGAAAAAGGAGUUACUGCCAUUACAUUGGCGUUGCGUGGGCGCAUAGCUACACUUAGCUUUACAACUUUUCAUAGCGAAUGAGAUGUCAAGUCUUUCGUAUUGUGUUG